rnacentral:rRNA from 1 species
GAUGAACGCUGGCGGCGUGCCUAAUACAUGCAAGUCGAGCGAACGGACGAGAAGCUUGCUUCUCUGAUGUUAGCGGCGGACGGGUGAGUAACACGUGGAUAACCUACCUAUAAGACUGGGAUAACUUCGGGAAACCGGAGCUAAUACCGGAUAAUAUUUUGAACCGCAUGGUUCAAAAGUUAAAGACGGUCUGGCUGUCACUUAUAGAUGGAUCCGCGCUGCAUUAGCUAGUUGGUAAGGUAACGGCUUACCAAGGCAACGAUGCAUAGCCGACCUGAGAGGGUGAUCGGCCACACUGGAACUGAGACACGGUCCAGACUCCUACGGGAGGCAGCAGUAGGGAAUCUUCCGCAAUGGGCGAAAGCCUGACGGAGCAACGCCGCGUGAGUGAUGAAGGUCUUCGGAUCGUAAAACUCUGUUAUUAGGGAAGAACAUAUGUGUAAGUAACUGUGCACAUCUUGACGGUACCUAAUCAGAAAGCCACGGCUAACUACGUG